UACGUAGGGGGCAAGCGUUGUCCGGAUUUAUUGGGCGUAAAGCGCUCGCAGGUGGUUCGUCGCGUCGUGCGUGAAAGACCCCGGCUCAACUGGGGAGGGUCGUGCGAUACGGGCGGACUGGAGGCCAGUAGGGGGAUGCGGAAUUCCGGGUGUAGUGGUGGAAUGCGUAGAGAUCCGGAGGAACACCAGCGGCGAAGGCGGCAUCCUGGACUGGUACUGACGCUCAGGAGCGAAAGCGUGGGGAGCGGUCCGG
rnacentral:rRNA from 1 species